rnacentral:rRNA from 1 species
UGGGGAAUUUUGGACAAUGGGGGCAACCCUGAUCCAGCCAUGCCGCGUGCGGGAAGAAGGCCUUCGGGUUGUAAACCGCUUUUAGUCGGGAAGAAAAGGCACGUCCUAAUACGACGUGUUCUUGACGGUACCGGCGGAAUAAGCACCGGCUAACUACGUGCCAGCAGCCGCGGUAAUACGUAGGGUGCGAGCGUUAAUCGGAAUUACUGGGCGUAAAGCGUGCGCAGGCGGUUCGUUAAGUCUGAUGUGAAAGCCCCGGGCUCAACCUGGGAAUGGCAUUGGAAACUGGCGGGCUGGAGUGCGGCAGAGGGGGGUGGAAUUCCGCGUGUAGCAGUGAAAUGCGUAGAGAUGCGGAGGAACACCGAUGGCGAAGGCAGCCCCCUGGGCCGACACUGACGCUCAGGCACGAAAGCGUGGG